UGCGCGCCGGCGCGUCAUCCCGGCGCGCCGAGCAGGCAGAGAUGGCGGAGUUGGGCAGAGUGCCCCUGUGCGACCCUGCGGCUCUGCUUCCCACGGGCUUCUGGGCCGCCGUGGCCGUGUGGCUGGAGAGGCCGCAGGUGGCCAACAAGCGGCUGUGCGGCGCCCGCACGGAGGCCCGCGGGAGCGCUUUCCGGCCCCGCGCCCAGCCGGAGAAAGGACCACGGCCGGGACAGGGCCCCGGGCUGGAGGGGCAUGACGCGGGGGAACGCGGACAAGCUUCUCCCGAGGGAGAGCCAGGGUUAGGACCUAGAGCGGGCCGAGAAGGCGACGUCUCCGCAGCUGACCUGGACUCUCUGUGGGACCGAGUAUCUCAAAGCCUCGUCCACGACAAUCCGGAAAUGCUGGCCUUCCUCUCUGGCCCCGCGUUGGAUUCUCAGCCUGAAGCCCCGCAGAAGCUCGACCUGGUUCUCAGAACCGUCAUCCCGAAAGCGAGCCCUCACUGCCCGCUUACAGAGCCGAAGAAAGAACUGGUGGUGCAAGAUGUCGCCAAUGGUAGUGUCACCUUUUUACCCUUGGAAGAGGAUGAUGAAGGGAAUUUGGAGGUUAAGAUGAGCAACGUGUAUCAGCUCCGGCUCCAUCACAGUGAAGGCGAAUGGUUCAUAUCUGUUUUAAUUUUCUGUCCAGAGAGGUGGCAUUCAGAUGGCAUUGUCUAUCCCAAACCUACCUGGCUUGGAGAAGAACUGCUGUCCAAGCUGGCCAGGUGGGCUGUGGAGAACAGGAAGAGUGAAUUUAAAAGCACGCUUUCCCUGGUGUCCAUCCUGCGCUACAGCAGGAUGUACCAGGAGCUCAAAGAGAAGUACAGAGACAUGGUAAAGGUUUGGCCUGAAGUAACAGAUCCUGAAAAGUUUGUCUAUGAAGACGUGGCCAUCGCCACAUACCUGCUGAUCCUAUGGGAAGAGGAGAGGGCUGAGAUGGGAGUCACCACCAAGCAGUCCUUCGUGGACUUGGGGUGCGGAAAUGGCCUCCUGGUCCACAUCUUAAGCAAUGAGGGGCAUCCGGGCAGAGGGAUUGAUGUCCGAAGAAGAAAGAUCUGGGACAUGUAUGGACCCCGAACUCAGCUGGAGGAAGGUUCCAUCACCCCAAGUGACAAGACCUUGUUCCCUGGUGUUGACUGGCUGAUUGGUAACCAUUCUGAUGAGCUCACUCCCUGGAUCCCUGUCAUUGCGGCCAGGUCUUCCUACACCUGCCGGUUCUUCGUCCUGCCCUGCUGUUUCUUUGACUUUGUGGGGCGAUACCGCCGGCGGCAGAGCAGGAAGACACAGUACCGAGAAUACCUGGACUUCGUGCUGGAGGUGGGGCUUUCCUGUGGCUUCCACAUGGAGGAGGACUGCCUCAGGAUUCCUUCUACCAAGCGGGUCUGCCUCAUUGGGAAAUCCAGAACAUACCUGCCUUCUGCAGAGGUCUGGAUGGAUGAGCAGAGGACACGGUACCUCCACAGCAGACAGGGCCACCCCCAGAGCUCACCUGCUGAGGGACACGCACCUUCUAUACCCCAGGUUGCUGCCCAUGAUGCUGAUCAUCAAGACAGUCACAGGACCUUUGACCUUGAGGCUGAGGGCAUGCCUGAUGGCCGGGCUGCUGAGGGAGGCGCAGCCCCAGCCCCAGGGCUCUGGAUGCCUGGGUUCUGCCCUAGAGAAAAGGCCGAGCGUGUGAGGAAUUGUGCUGCCCUCCCUCGAGACUUCAUUGACCAAGUGGUUUUACAAGUGGCAAAUUUGUUGUUAGAUGGAAAGAAGUUAAACACCGGGAGCUCUGAGGACGGGAGUCCGAAGACCUGGAAUGGAGGAGGAAGCCUUUCCCUGGCAGAAGUGGCUGCGGAACUGAACCCAGAGACCCUGCAGCGACUGAAGUGCGAGUGUGGAGGCCUACAGACCCUGCUCAGGAACAGCCACCAGGUGUUUGAAGGGACUUGUCAGCUCCUGGCAGCGUCCUGUAUCUUCUCCAAGAAGACGGAUGGCCGCAGAAGAACUUCCACCCGGGGGAUUGCUUCUGGUGUGACAAAAGGCCAGCCAUGCAGUGAAAAGCUGCCUUACACCGCUGCUGAGAUCCUGUCCAGACUAAAUUGAUGGAACAGUGGGGGAUCGAUUGCCCCAUGCUGCAAAGUCAAGGUGGGUCAGUCUCUCCAAUUCCUACCCUACAAAAAUUCUGUCAGAUCUUCUGGGCUUGGCAGCUAGCUAAAGGCAAAUACUGCUUUGGGGGCUUGUGUCCCCCAAAGACCAUGGAGAGACUUGGGAUUGCUGCCUGGGUGGCUGGAAGACUUUCUCACUUCUGCUUAAAUCGAGCCUGCUCAGAUCUGAUGGUGUUUGAUGACUAGGGUACCUGUUUAACAGCCCCAAUCCCAAGGUUGCAAGCACCUUGAUAGUUCAUUAAUAAGUUCCCUGUUAAAAAUACAGACAGGUAUGCCUCAUUCACAGACUCCAUACAGGAUAACUGGUUUAUAAAUGCAGUUUUGAUAGACUGAUAGAGCACUGACCACAAACAGUUUUUAGGAGUCCUUAAAUUUCUAUGGAUUUUUAGCCCUUUUGCUAUUACACCAAGUUGUAAGUCCAUUCCAGUUUUUUUGUUUUUGUUUUUGUUUUUGGAGACAGGGUUUCUCUGUGUAUCCUUGCGCCUUUCCUGGAUCUCGCUCUGUAGACCAGGCUGGCCUCGAACUCACAAAGAUCCGCCUGCCUCUGCCUCCCAAGUGCUGGGAUUAAAGGCGUGCACCACCACUGCCUGGCACCGUUCCAGUUGUUUUACAGACACCUAUAGGUUACACCAACCUGGGCACAUUACCCCAUGCCCUCAGGAAGUAGCUAGACUUGAACCAGCACCCCUAUACCCAAGGAGUCUGGAAUGUUCUAGUGGAAGCUCCAACUCAACUCCCUCCCCCGUCUCUCUCCUCAAACUCACCCCCUCAAAGCCUGCCAAACACAGCUCCUCCCCUAGAGCUGCCCUCCCAUUCCAGACCUCCCCGCUUAAAGCCCACCAAAAGCCAGCCCCCAUCUGGGGCUGCUCAAGACCACACCUACAACAUACUUAAGGCCGGUAGCCAUAUUUGCCAUGUAACUCUUCCCCUGUGACCCUUCCCACGAUUGCUUUGCUCAUUAAACCUGGAUUAAUUAUUUCAGUUUGAUUUGGCUUAUUACAUCAAUGGCGGCAGGAACCCAGCAACUGGGGAUUUGAAACUUAUCACUGCCCUCUUUGAGUUCCUUCAAUGAUGAACAGUGAUGUCUAAGCCAAAUAAACCCUUUCCUCCGCAACUUUCUUUUGUUUUAGUGUUUCAUCACAACAAUAGUAAUCCUAACUAAGACACUACUUCAGUGAGUUGUCAAGGCAACCAUCUGCCACAAAGCACUGCUGACCCAGUUUUCAGAUGAAUCAGUUGAGCCCAAGGAAGACACGGAUCACACCAGGACUAAAGUCCAAUGACCUCUACCUAGGCAUGGCGUGGCCAAGCUGGGACCCCUCAAGACCUGGAAUGCAUAUGUGCUCGCUCUCUUGGCUACCUCGUGGUCUUGGGUGCUGGAUGCUGGUACUGCAGACUAAGGCAAAGUUCUUCAGAGAACCUGGUUGGAUGGCACCUCACCCCUUCUGGACUCCAUGACCAACUCCCUUUUGCUUGUUAUAAAUUAAUCCAAAAUAAACCCCUUUGAUUAUCAGA